GGGAAUCCGGUGCGAAUCCGGAACUGUCCCGCAACGGUGUACUGGCGUGUGUCCGCACGCCUGUUCAGUCCGAGGACC
rnacentral:ncRNA from 16 species